GAUGAACGCUGGCGGUAUGCUUAACACAUGCAAGUCGAACGGACUCUUCGGAGUUAGUGGCGGACGGGUGAGUAACGCGUGAGAAUCUGGCUUUGGGUUCGGGACAACCACUGGAAACGGUGGCUAAUACCGGAUGUGCCGAGAGGUAAAAGAGAAAUUGCCUGAAGAUGAGCUCGCGUCUGAUUAGCUAGUUGGUGAGGUAAAGGCUCACCAAGGCAGCGAUCAGUAGCUGGUCUGAGAGGAUGACCAGCCACACUGGGACUGAGACACGGCCCAGACUCCUACGGGAGGCAGCAGUGGGGAAUUUUCCGCAAUGGGCGAAAGCCUGACGGAGCAAUACCGCGUGAGGGAAGAAGGCUCUUGGGUUGUAAACCUCUUUUCUUAGGGAAGAACAAAAUGACGGUACCUAAGGAAUCAGCAUCGGCGAACUCCGU
rnacentral:rRNA from 1 species